UUUCCGUAGGUGAACCUGCGGAAGGAUCAUUCAUAAUAAGUGUUUUAUGGCUCUUUUUUAAAUCGAUUGCCACCUUGUGUGAAAUGUCAGGGUUGAUUGUUCUCGCGAGAGGAUCAGCCCCAUACAUCAACUAUAUCUCAACUCUUUGUCUGACAAAUAUUCUGCAUAAAACAAUUCAAAAUACAACUUUCAACAACGGAUCUCUUGGAUCUC
rnacentral:misc_RNA from 1 species